UGGGGAAUCUUGGACAAUGGGCGAAAGCCUGAUCCAGCAAUGCCGCGUGUGUGAAGAAGGCCUUCGGGUUGUAAAGCACUUUCAGUGGGGAAGAAAUACUUAAGGGUAAUAUCCUUAAGCGUUGACGUUACCCACAGAAGAAGCACUGGCAAACUCUGUGCCAGCAGCCGCGGUAAUACAGAGAGUGCAAGCGUUAAUCGGAAUCACUGGGCGUAAAGCGCGCGUAGGUGGAUAUUUAAGUCGGAUGUGAAAGCCCUGGGCUUAACCUGGGAACUGCAUUCGAUACUGAAUAUCUAGAGUAUGGUAGAGGGAAGUGGAAUUUCCGGUGUAGCGGUGAAAUGCGUAGAUAUCGGAAAGAACACCAGUGGCGAAGGCGGCUUCCUGGACCAAUACUGACACUCAAGUGCGAAAGCGUGGGGAGCAAACAGGAUUAGAUACCCGCGUAGUCC
rnacentral:rRNA from 1 species